UACGUAGGAGGCAAGCGUUGUCCGGAAUUACUGGGCGUAAAGCGCGUGUAGGCGGUCUGAAUAGUCUGCUGUGAAAGCGCCUGGCUUAACCGGGCGAGGUCGGCGGAAACUCUCAGACUGGAGGCCGGUAGAGGGGGGUGGAAUUCCCGGUGUAGUGGUGAAAUGCGUAGAGAUCGGGGAGGAACACCGGUGGCGAAGGCGGCGACCUGGGUAGAUACUGACGCUGAGGUGCGAAAGCGUGGGGAGCAAACAGGG
rnacentral:rRNA from 1 species